AGUGAACGCUGGCGGUAGGCCUAACACAUGCAAGUCGAACGGCAGCACAGUAAGAGCUUGCUCUUACGGGUGGCGAGUGGCGGACGGGUGCGUAAUACACCGGACUAUACUUUUUAGCGGUGGAUAAUGUAGGGAAACCUACGCUAAUACCGAAUACGUGCUACGAGUGAAACCAGGGUCUGUUCAGCCAUUUGGCGAGUGAAUGACCCGAUGUCGGAUUAGCUAGUUGGCGGGGUAAAGGCAUAACAAGGCGCCGAUGCGUAGAUGGUCUGAGAGGAUGAUCAGCCACACUGGAACUGAUGAACGGUCAAGACUCCUACGGGAGGCAGCAGUGGGGAAUAUUGGACAAUGGGGGCAAGACUGAUCCAGCCAUACCGAGUGGGUGAAGAAGGCAUUCGGGUUGUAAAACGCUUUUGUUGGGAAAGAAAAGCAGUAGGUUAAGACCCCGCUGUUCUGACGGUACCCAAAGAAUAAGCACCGGCUAACUUCGUG
rnacentral:rRNA from 1 species